rnacentral:rRNA from 1 species
UACGUAGGGUGCGAGCGUUAAUCGGAAUUACUGGGCGUAAAGCGUGCGCAGGCGGCGCCGCAAGUCAGGCGUGAAAUCCCCGAGCUUAACUUGGGAAUGGCGCUUGAAACUACGGUGCUGGAGUGUGGCAGAGGGAGGUGGAAUUCCACGUGUAGCGGUGAAAUGCGUAGAGAUGUGGAGGAACACCGAUGGCGAAGGCAGCCCCCUGGGCUAACACUGACGCUCAGGCACGAAAGCGUGGGGAGCAAACAGG